GCUUAAAUAGUUUUAUUUAAAAUAUUGAUUUGUGGUAUCAAAGAUAUAGUGUUAUUAUUUUAGGCA
rnacentral:tRNA from 1 species